rnacentral:rRNA from 1 species
UACAGAGGUCUCAAGCGUUGUUCGGAUUCAUUGGGCGUAAAGGGUGUGUAGGUGGCGCCGUAAGUCGGGGUGUGAAAUUUCGGAGCUUAACUCCGAAACUGCAUUCGAUACUGCGGUGCUUUGAGGACUGGAGAGGAGACUGGAAUUCAUGGUGUAGCAGUGAAAUGCGUAGAGAUCAUGAGGAAGACCAGUGGCGAAGGCGGGUCUCUGGACAGUUCCUGACACUGAGGCACGAAGGCCAGGGGGAGCAAACGGG